UCUAUGUGUGGCAGAUUAGUCAGAUCCUCCCUGUAGUGACGUCAUGUUAUUGGUAGCCUAUCUCCCCGCAGGGAGGUGUGUUUAAAUGGCUGUUUGGUGCGGGCCGGAGGUGCGUCAUCUGUUCUGUGCCUGCGCUCUUCCUGUUUACCGGCAUUCAACAGAGGUCUGUGGUUAAAACACAGCCGUUUGGGCAUUUUAACACCGCUUGUGUUAUUUCUGUGGGGCUUUGCGUGCACUGGAGAGUCUAUUGUAAACAACCGUUACGUGCGGUCUGGCUCGUUACACUGCCUAGUCCCAGCAUUCCCGUGUGUUUACCGGUUGAGUGGGGAUAUCCAAUAUAUGCUGUUUGGCAUCUACUUCAUUUCUAUCCCGUGGAUACUGACGUCAGCUCUGCUUUCUGGUGUGGCGAACGGCUGCGUUAUUUGGAGCUGUGUGUCCGACGGCAGUGAGGCUUUCCUUCACCGUGUGCUGUGUUAUGCUGUGUGAGCACCACUGAUAAAAUCACGGGUAUUGGAGAGAGUGUGUGUGUGUGUGUGCGCACUUAGUGUGAUUUUCCUCUUUUGCUCCCUCUCUUAGCCCAUUUGAUGCCAAUAGGCCACAGCUCCGAAGUAAUUGUGAAUCCUUAUUGUGGAUUGUGAUUUCCAGUUUAGUAAUUGGCUGGGUGACUAUUCCUGCAUUUUAAACUUUUGUACUAAUAAACAAACUCUAUUUUGCUA